rnacentral:tRNA from 1 species
GAGGAUGUAGCUCAGUGGUAGAGUGUGUGCUUUGCAUCCACAAGGUCCUGGGUUCAAUCCCCAGUACCUCCU